AUACGUAGGGGGCGAGCGUUGUCCGGAAUGAUUGGGCGUAAAGGGCGCGUAGGCGGCCCGGUAAGUCUGGAGUGAAAGUCCUGUUUUUAAGAUGGGAAUUGCUUUGGAUACUGUCGGGCUUGAGUGCUGGAGAGGUAAGUGGAAUUCCCAGUGUAGCGGUGAAAUGCGUAGAGAUUGGGAGGAACACCAGUGGCGAAGGCGACUUACUGGACUGUAACUGACGCUGAGGCGCGAAAGUGUGGGGAGCAAACAGGAUUAGAUACCCUGGUAGUCCACACUGUAAACGAUGAAUGCUAGGUGUAGGGGGUAUCGACCCCUUCUGUGCCGCAGUCAACACAAUAAGCAUUCCGCCUGGGGAGUACGGCCGCAAGGUUGAAACUCAAAUGAAUUGACGG
rnacentral:rRNA from 1 species